ACCCUGCAGGGAUAAAUCUUUCGGAAAGCCGUGUCCGCGGUUAUGGACGACUUGGUUGGUCAUUACUUGAUCAUAGAGAACUUAACCAACUUAAUCUCAAAAACUUGAGUAGUAAUUAGCCUUAAUCAUGGAUAUGCUUAAACUGCUUAAGUGUGAGUGUCCUUUGGAUUGCUUCCUCACAGGGUGUUGAGGGGGUGAUAUGAGGAUUGUGUUGUUUGGU
rnacentral:lncRNA from 1 species